GUUAAAUUUACGGAGCAUCACCAUCGUAUUUUUCUCAGUAAAAGGAUAAUUUUCCAUAUAGUCCACUGUUUCAAACCUUACAAUGAAAGGAUGAAAAUGCAACCUGACUCUCCCAGAACCCAGGAAGUUAAUAAGAAGCUCUAAAUGCCCUCGAAUUCCAGACCCUGUUCCCUAUAGGUAAAAGAUCAUACUUUUUGCUGUUUUAGGGCUUGCUUUCUGCUCUGUACAAACUUUGUGGAAGGGGAAAAACAGGCCCCUGAGUAUGUGCCUCUAUGCUUGAAACUUCUUGAAACUGCUCCUAACUUCUUGUUUGGCUUCUGUAAACCUGCUUGCAUAAGAUAAAAAGAGGAGAAGUCAAUCGCCUAACCGACCCCAGUAAGAUUGGGCGUGCCACAAAAUGUUGAAAAUCCUGAUAAAUAUAUCUUGGUGACAAUAUGUCUCCCCCACCCAGAGACAGGCACAAACAUGUAACUCCAGAACAACUUAAAAUUAAUUGGUCCACAAAGCGCGGGCUCUCGAAGUUUUGAAUUGACUGGUUUGCGAUAUUUUAAAAUGAUUAGUUUGUAAAAGCGCGGGCUUUGUUAUGAACCCCAUAAAAGCUGUCCCGACUCCACACUCGGGGCCGCAGUCCUCUACCCCUGCGUGGCGUACGACUGUGGGCCCCAGCGCGCUCGGAAUAAAAAUCCUCUUGCUGUUUGCAUCAAGACCGCUUCUCGUGAGUGAUUUGGGGUGUCGCCUCUUCCGAGUCAGGACGAGAGGGAUUUUAACUCGACUGCCUUUCAGUUUGGUGCGUUGGCCGGGAAACCCGCGACUACCCCUCACACCCGAGAACCGACUUGGAGGGUGCUGCGAGGGGACCCUCUGCCCCUCCUGGAGCUCCGGCGGUGGAGGGACCUGCUGCAGGGACUCGGAGCCGGAGGGGCGCCACCCCGGAGCGGACAGACGAGAUCGCGACAUUACCGCUGCGCACGUACGGCCCUCCCAUACCGGGGGGCCAAUUGCAGCCCCUCCAGUAUUGGCCCUUUUCUUCUGCAGAUCUCUAUAAUUGGAAAACUAACCAUCCCCCUUUCUCGGAGGAUCCCAACGCCUC
rnacentral:lncRNA from 1 species